rnacentral:rRNA from 1 species
CCCUUAGAUGUUCUGGGCCGCACGCGCGCUACACUGACGAAUGCAACGAGCUUAUAACCUUGGCCGAAAGGUCUGGGUAAUCUCCAAAUUUCGUCGUGAUUGGGAUAGACCUUUGCAAUUAUGGGUCUUCAACGAGGAAUUCCUAGUAAACGCAAGUCAUCAGCUUGCAUUGAUUACGUCCCUGCCCUUUGUACACACCGCCCGUCGCACCUACCGAUUGAAUGGUCCGGUGAAAUCUCGGGACGGCGGCUUGGUCGCUUGCGUCCGACUGCUGAAACUUGAUUAAACCAUAUCAUUUAGAGGAAGGUGAAGUCGUAACA